ACACCGGUGGUGGGCUCCGCUGCGUGAGGGCUUGGCCAACAGCUGCCCCGCCGGCCCAGCGGCUCCCUGUACCUGGGCCCGAGCCCCUUUGCUGCAGAGAAAGAGUCGCGUGUGCGGUAGGGGUCCUGUGGAGAGGGCCUGGGCCUAUUCUCAGGGCCAAUAAGCUUCUCCACACCCACCGUCGGGUCCUUUGUGGGAGCCCCACAUGGUGUCCCCCACCCCAGAGCCUUUUCUCCUGGUGGGUUUCUGAGACGGAUUUUUCGGACCCACGACGCCACUCCGGGCUGCCCUGACUUCCCCAGAGGAGGAGAAAGAUACCAGUUCUGACCCCAGCGCAGGGAGUUCGCAGGCGGUCGCGUGCGGGGCGGCGCAGAUUCCAAGGCCGGGGACCUUGUCCGGGCGGGAGAUGCAGAGGGGUUUCCCAGGGGACCGCGUGCAGACAGGCUGCCCCACUCCCACGGAUGGCGCGGGGGCCUUCCCGCGUCUGCGGGAGCUGAGGGUCGUUCCUCACUGCAGGAACCCCGCCACCCGGAAUCGGGCCGGGCCAGCCAGCCGCAGGCACCCUUCCGGCCACCAGCCUGCGAGGCACUGAGUCACAGGGAAGGGGAGCUCAGUGGGAAGGCCGAGCACGGGGUCUCAGGGCAAGUUGCGUGGCCGUGGCCGUGGUGGUCUAGCCUGGGGACAGAAACCUCCUUGAGCCCAGGUCCAGCCCGGGUUUGGAUUUCCCAGCUGAGGCCCUCGGCUGCCGCAGCGGCGGAGCCCAGAGCCGGCGCAAGGCCACCCAGGCCACCGUCAGCCCCUCGCUAGUCGCAAGAUGCCUCCGCGACCCUGGAGCGUGAGGAUGGUCCCGGGGGAGGAGCGGGCGGAAGGGCGCACCGGCUCCUGCACAAGCUGGAUACGGCUCGGGCUCCGCGGUCUCCAGGCCCGCGCCGCACGCCGAGGGGGUAGGAGCGGGCUCCCGGGGCGGCGCGCGGGCACAGAGCGUGCUUUCGCCUUCCGGUGACUCCAGGGAAGGGGAUCUCCUGCAGUUUGCCUCGUCGGAGAGAGCCAGGCUAACGCCCAUGAUCCCGCGUCCAAGGCUGCUUCGAAUUCAUGGUGCUUUUCGAACCAAGCGCUUCAGUGUCCGUGACAAGGAAGACCAGGUUUACCGAUGACAUCGCAGUGAAGGACAGGCCCCAGACACAUCCGGGGAGAGGGGGGCUCUCCGCACCGGGCCCCUCUGGGAAGGCCCCAACCGCCCAGGGCGGGACUGGCCCGGCUGUCGUGCUCAACGUGGGUAGACGAUGGAUGACAGAAAAGAACAUCCUCGGAAAAGACUAGGGCACGGUCUGCAAACCUAUAUUUUUAUUAGGCUUUCAUAUUGUGUGUGUUUUUCAACGCACUUGCCAACGCUUAAACUUUGGGAAAAUUCAAACGGAAAUCUUGAUUUCCGAUGACCUCCGUUCCUACGCGGCAGUGAGUUGGCUGGAGCUGAGCAGCGCUACCCUCCCGUCUCCAGACUUGUUUUUAAAAGGCCGGCUGAAGAUUGCCUUGGACGUUCCAUUUCUCACUGCAGAUUUCGUUUCCCUGGGACGCUGGGAUAGGUCCGAGUUACCCUCUAGAGCAGCGGUUCUUAAAGUGUGGUCCAACAGCAUUCGCAUCAUCUGGAACUUGUUAGAAAUGCAAACUCUCUGGCCUCACCUACUAAGUCAGAAACUGGGAGUGGGGCCUGGCAAUCUGUGUUUGAGCAAGCCCUCCAGGACCUUCACUUGAACUUCUCUCCUCGGCCAAAGAGCUGCCUCCACUGGACCAUUUGCUUCCCUCCAGGAUUUUCUAGUUUUGGGCAGUGAACAAUAGAAGGCACUUUGCCUCCCCAAAAUCCCGUCUAACUGGAAGCCUCUUGUCAUCAUCUAUUUUCAAGUUUUUUUAGUUUUUUUUUUUAAGCUUUAAUUUUAGUGAGUCAGUGCAGGGAAGCCACUGAAAACGCAUAUAAACAAAAAUGAAUUUUCAUACUGACCAUAGUCAUAAAUUGUACAAAAGUAUUCAUCAUCUCCACUUUGACAAAGGGUUGCUAUUUUCAAAUGACCUUUUCUUAUGGGGAUUCUCAAAAUAUAAGAUGUUACAGUGGUCAGGAAUGUGGUAAUCUCUUUACUACCAGUGAUUCUAUUUCUUAACAGAAUUUUGCUUCCCAGUGCAGAUGGUUUGAUAUAGUAACAUUCAAAGCAGCCAGCCCUUAGGAAAUGCCAAGGCCAAUAUUUGAAUGCAGAUACAAGUUUUAACAAAGGAAAAUGUAGUAUAUCCUUGUAGCUGUUUGCCUGUGAAUAUUCCCCUGGAGGGCUAAUACACUAUUCUUGAAUCUAAUCCAAGUCAAGCCAACUCUAAAAAUCCUGUGAAGUACCGACUAAUAAGGCACAUACAAUUCCUUUUCAACAGUUUUCUUGAGUGUCUACUAUGUACCAGGUAAGAGGCAAUUGUGCUAUUGUUUGAAACCUUGAACUUUCAUCCUGACUUGGGGGUAGAAGUGAGGACAAGGAAGGUGGAAUUUUAAGGUUGGAUCCCCUUGGUUUUGUUAAAUUGUUAAAGUAUUUGUAUUUAAUGGCAAUCUUUAAAACAUUUAUUGAAUUCUGUCUUACAUUUUUAGUCAUUUUUAUAAGUCAAGGAGAGAAAAUCAAUGUUUAAGCCAGCCCAUUUAUUAGAAAGUGAAUGCCAGCACAGGCUUAACUUCUGGCUUUCCAACUGGAAGACAACAUUUUAUAAUGAUGUUAUUUCACUUCAUGCCAGGUGAUAAUUCCACUGUAGCUUCAUUGUGAUUGGUGACCAUAGCUCACUCAAGCUGAUUCUCACUUCCUGACUGUAAGGAGCCACAGAGAAAAAACAAAUCAUUCUUCUUCUGGCACCCUUGCUGGAGGAGGAGUAAGGGAAGAGGCAGACGGCUAGAUUGGCCCCAUCCUCAUAGUUUUUUGGGAGAAUUUGGAGCAGGACCAGCUCAGAUCAAAGUUUCAAAGAAUACUGGUCUUAUAAGAAGUGAUGAGCUCUGUUAUCUUUGCCUCUGAGCCCAAAACACAGAAAACUUCAAUGGAUCUGGAGACAUACCAGUAUGAGAAGCCCCCCUCCACUCUUUACAGUGUCUGCUCAUACUGCUUGUCUUAGCCACAUACUUCACUUUUCAGUCACCAAACCCCUCUUCCCUUGUCCUUUCCCCCAUACCAUCCCUGGCCCAUGCUUUGCAAGUGGGCUUGCCUCCAGGAAUCAAACUGGGUGGAUGCUAUGAUGUCAGAACACCAGGCAGCAGUGUUUCUAACGUGUUAGACCAUGGUUGUCUUUUUCUUUUCCUGGAAAAGUACACUAAGUGCAAGUUGUCUCCCAGGCCAUGAGGCACACAUCCAAAUGCCCUACGUGGUGGGCCCGCCCAGGCCCAGGAGAGUGUGGAGAACAAGUGUGUCAUAUGGGUGUGUUCACUAGUCCUGCUCCCCCUCUGUCUCAUCAUUGACCACAUUCUCUUGACAAGCCAUAUGGCCUGGGAGUGACCUGGAAUAUAUUAAGGGCAUUGGUUUGUAGAACACUUGCAGAGCAAGGGAGCAAUAGCAGAGUGGUAUUUUAGAGUUGGUAAUUCAUUUAAUGUACAUUUAUUGAGGAUGUUUGGUAUGGUAGGCCUUGUGGUAGGUACUGGGAACGCAAUAAUGAAUUUGGAGCUAUGGUCUACUGGGAAGAUGUACAAGUAAAUAGGCAAUUAUGAUAUCGUAUGCAUCAGAAACCCUGGAUCCAAGAUCCCUAGUUAAUAGCUCUAUUAUGUUGGGCAAGUCAUGUUGCUUGUUGAACCCUCUGUGUCUGAAUCUGCAAAUUAAGGAUAUUCUGAGGGUUAAAUAACAUGGAUGCAGGCCAGGCAUGGUGGCUCACGCCUGUAAUCCCAGCACUUUGGGAGGCUGAGGUAGGUGGAUCACAAGCUUAGGAGAUCGAGACCAUCCUGGCUAACACAGUGAAACCCUGUCUCUACUGAAAAUGCAAAAACAAAAUUAGCUGGUGUGGUGGCGGGCACCUGUAGUCCCACUACUUGGGAGGCUGAAGUGGGAGAAUGGCAUGAACCCGGGAGGUGGAGCUUGCAGUGAGCCAAUAUUGGGCCACUGCACUCCAGCCUGGGCGACAGAGUGAGACUCCA
rnacentral:lncRNA from 1 species